UACGGGGGGGGCAAGCGUUGUUCGGAAUUACUGGGUGUAAAGGGUUCGUAGGCGGUGUGGCAAGUCGGGAGUGAAAUCUCUGGGCUCAACCCAGAGACUGCUUCCGAAACUGCUGUGCUUGAGUGUGAGAGAGGCUCGUGGAAUUGCAGGUGUAGCGGUGAAAUGCGUAGAUAUCUGCAGGAACACCCGUGGCGAAAGCGGCGAGCUGGAUCACUACUGACGCUGAGGAACGAAAGCUAGGGGAGCAAACGGG
rnacentral:rRNA from 1 species